GUAUGUUUCCAGUGUGCCUACAUAUUUGUGUAACCCUCUGUUUGCAAAUUCAUGUCCAGAGAAUAGCAUGUGGAAACUGAGGUACUGUCAAGAAGAGAAUCCAGGUAUCCUAUUUCUUCUCCUUUACUGGUGGAAUCACACAGCACUCCUUUCACAGCCUCUGCAGUCUGAUAUGUUCAUGAGAGAGCAAGCAGAACAAUUUCUAUGCUUCAGGUGAAAUGACUGGGGCAGAUAAAAUGAAUGAUGAUUACUAGGAUUUCCAUUGUGAAGUCAAGUGAGCAGAAAAUACUACAGCAGCAAGAAUCCCUCAAACUAAUAGAAGUGCUGGAACUGUAACUUUUAAAGGCCCUUAUUUCAUUAUUCUAUUUGUGUGACCACUGCCUUAAUACCAUUUUUGUGCAUUCAAUGGUCUAGGCUGGUGAAAAGCUAAAAGGUACCUAUGCACAAUCUAUUAGUGUCUGAAAUGCCUAAUUCAGGACCAUGUUUCAGCACAACAGCAUGGUGUUCUCAUGCAAUGUAAGUUCACUGGAGGCCUGAAGCACCUGCUUUGUAAUGGAAGAAGAACAGCCAGCUGUGAUUUUUUGUGGAAAGAGGAAGAGAGGUGGAGAGCUGAACCUACCUAUGAGAACACACAUGCAGAUGUUGCCUCCAUCUACAAGUGUUGGCUGAAUAAACAUCUGAUUCUCCAGUGAAGCUUUCCAGACUCUACAUUCUCUUCGGCAGACAUGUACUAUUAGUUUAACAAUUUAUACAUUGUUUUUAUAUCCCAAUAAAGCAGUUCAAAGCAGCUUGGCUUUGUGUAUAUGACUCGGAAAGGGCUAUAUGCAUCCCAGUUUCAAGUAGAAAAUGUAGGCUCUCCUGUCAUU